GUCCUCAUAGCCAAGUCUGGUAAGGCUCUAGAUUGCAACCCUAGGAACGUUGGUUCAAAUCCGACUGGGGACUUA
rnacentral:tRNA from 1 species